AAACUGCUGUGAGGCCACAGCAGAAGCACUAAAGGUGUGGCCAUGUCAGAUUCCAGUGAAUCUGCAAAUUCUGCU
rnacentral:ribozyme from 1 species